GCAAGUCGAACGGUAACGCGGGGCAACCUGGCGACGAGUGGCGAACGGGUGAGUAAUGUAUCGGAACGUGCCCAGUUGUGGGGGAUAACUGCUCGAAAGAGCAGCUAAUACCGCAUACGACCUGAGGGUGAAAGCGGGGGAUCGCAAGACCUCGCGCAAUUGGAGCGGCCGAUAUCAGAUUAGGUAGUUGGUGGGGUAAAGGCUCACCAAGCCAACGAUCUGUAGCUGGUCUGAGAGGACGACC
rnacentral:rRNA from 1 species